CAAUUUUCGCUCACAACUCAUUUUACGUGGACAGCCGCCGCAACAGCCUCGGGUCUCAACACAAUCAAAGCUUUUACUUUUACUUAGCGAUUCUUCCUCAAGUUUCAGAACUCCACAAGGACCACAAAAAAAAAAAAAAAAAAGAAAGAAAGAAGAAAACUCUGGCGUAGCUAUGGCGUCCAUGGCUAGUGCAAGGGUAGCUCCUGCUGGAUUCUCAUACGGCAGGCCUCCAUUGUCUGCUUCAGAGAAGCGAGGAGAACGGUGGUGGUGAGGGCUGAAGCCGUAAACCCAGGUAUCAGGAAGACCGAAGACAAAGUGGUGGACUCCGUUGUUAUCACCGAACUGAAUAAGCCUCUCACUGCUUACUGCAGGUGUUGGCGGUCUGGGACUUUCCCUCUAUGCGAUGGAAGCCAUGUGAAGCACAAUAAGGCUACCGGAGACAAUGUUGGGCCUCUGCUAGUGAAGAAGCAGUGAAUAGUAAUGAUAUAGCACCAUACAUUCUCGAGUAUUCCAAACUUGGUGCAGCACGGUAUAUCUUUGUAUGUUCUUAAUAAUGUAAUAUGAUCUUUAUCUGGAGUUGUAAUAAUUCCUGUAGUGGAAAUUCCUUCUGAUUUUAACUAGUUCGAUCAGAACUUGCUUUGUUCAAGACCUUUAACGAGAAUCUAUUCUCCAUCCAUGAUCAAUCUUUACCUUUUCUAUU